AACUUCCUGGGGUGUUCGAUUGUCGGUUAAGUCCCUCGAGCCGAUAAGCAAUACCCAGGGGAUGGAAUGCGGAUAUUGUGUGCAAGUCCGGUCUGCCGGAAAGCCUAAUAUAUCCACUGACGUCCCCACUCUGAACCUUUGGGUUCAGGGCCACAACCGAUGCCGGCACCCUGGGAGGCCC
rnacentral:other from 1 species